AGUGAGAGCGGGCUUGCUCGCGAAUGCGCUGUGUCAGUCAGUACAUCUGUGACUGAACCACCGUAUUCGCGAGCAAGCCCGCUCCCACA
rnacentral:misc_RNA from 1 species